AACAGGAAGUCAUAUGAUUAAAUUGCUCUUGUCUUUACCAGAGCUGUGUACAAAUUGGUAGGCUGCAUCCUGUCUUGUUGUGUCUUCUUAAUGUGUAGACAGGCUACGAUGGCACCACAAACUGGGGGGCAAAGGUCCCAUCAAAGGCAUAGACAUUGUACUGUCAAUUAACCUUGCUCAUUUCUCAGCCCAUUUUUAUUAGGUUUACUUUUUUUGUCAUUGUCAAAAUGUGUGCCGUCAAUACAGAACAGUUGGGGGUAAAAAACGGAAAGGAUAUUUACCCGUGAAACAUUAUUUUCAGUUGGUUUGCCGUAUUUGUAGGACAUUGUGCACGAGCAUAUGCGGCACAUGGAACGCACCGAGGACUUGGCCCCUCUAUCUUAGUGUCGCCGUAGGCUUACAGCUCAAAAGGGGCGUGUCCGAGCUACAGUAGCUCCUGGGAUUGUCGUUAUUCAGAACUUUUGGCGGGUUGCUCGGAGGUCAUAACAUUUGCUUAAAGUGGCUUAAAGGUUGCAUUCAGUCCCCUCUCCGAAGCUUUUUAACAGUUGCGACAACGUAUCCCCCCAGUAUGUCCGGGUCAUCUUCCUCAGA